GUGGUGGGUAGUUUGACUGGGGUGGUCGCCUCCAAAAGAGUAACGGAGGCUCCUAAAGGUACCCUCAACACGGUUGGUAAUCGUGUGUAGAGUGUAAUGGCAUAAGGGUGCUUGACUGAGAGACCGACAAGUCGACCAGGUAGGAAACUAGAGCAUAGUGAUCCGGUGGUUCCGCAUGGAAGGGCCAUCGCUCAAAGGAUAAAAGGUACUCUGGGG
rnacentral:rRNA from 1 species